rnacentral:rRNA from 1 species
AGUCGAGCGAACAGACGAGGAGCUUGCUCCUCUGACGUUAGCGGCGGACGGGUGAGUAGCACGUGGAUAACCUACCUAUAAGACUGGGAUAGCUUCGGGAAACCGGAGCUAAUACCGGAUAAUAUAUUGAACCGCAUGGUCCAAUAGUGAAAGACGGUUUUGCUGUCACUUAUAGAUGGAUCCGCGCCGCAUUAGCUAGUUGGUAAGGUAACGGCUUACCAAGACAACGAUGCGUAGCCGACCUGAGAGGGUGAUCGGCCACACUGGAACUGAGACACGGUCCAGACUCCUACGGGAGGCAGCAGUAGGGAAUCUUCCGCAAUGGGCGAAAGCCUGACGGAGCAACGCCGCGUGAGUGAUGAAGGUCUUCGGAUCGUAAAACUCUGCUACUAGGGAAGAACAAAUGUGUAAGUAACUAUGCACGUCUUGACGGUACCUAAUCAGAAAGCCACGGCUAACUACGUGCCAGCAGCCGCGGUAAUACGUAGGUGGCAAGCGUUAUCCGGAAUUAUUGGGCGUAAAGCGCGCGUAGGUAGUUUUUUAAGUCUGAUAUGAAAGCCCACGGCUCAACCGUGGAGGGUCAUUGGAAACUGGAAAACUUGAGUGCAGAAGAGGAAAGUGGAAUUCCAUGUGUAGCGGUGAAAUGCGCAGAGAUAUGGAGGAACACCAGUGGCGAAGGCGACUUUCUGGUCUGUAACUGACGCUGAUGUGCGAAAGCGUGGAGAUCAAACAGGAUUAGAUACCCUGGUAGUCCACGCCGUAAACGAUGAGUGCUAAGUGUUAAGGGGUUUCCGCCCCUUAGUGCUGCAGCUAACGCAUUAAGCACUCC